AUUCCAUGAUUAGGGAACUUUAUGAUUAAGUCCUUGAACCUCUCCCAAGUUUCAUAAAGAGAUUCAUUAUCUUGUUGGAUGAAGUUAUUUAUUUCACUGCUCAGCUU